GACGAACGCUGGCGGCGUGCCUAAUACAUGCAAGUUGAGCGCUGAAGGUUGGUACUUGUACCAACUGGAUGAGCAGCGAACGGGUGAGUAACGCGUGGGGAAUCUGCCUUUGAGCGGGGGACAACAUUUGGAAACGAAUGCUAAUACCGCAUAAAAACUUUAAACACAAGUUUUAAGUUUGAAAGAUGCAAUUGCAUCACUCAAAGAUGAUCCCGCGUUGUAUUAGCUAGUUGGUGAGGUAAAGGCUCACCAAGGCGAUGAUACAUAGCCGACCUGAGAGGGUGAUCGGCCACAUUGGGACUGAGACACGGCCCAAACUCCUACGGGAGGCAGCAGUAGGGAAUCUUCGGCAAUGGACGAAAGUCUGGCCGAGCAACGCCGCGUGAGUGAAGAAGGUUUUCGGAUCGUAAAACUCUGUUGGUAGAGAAGAACGUUGGUGAGAGUGGAAAGCUCAUCAAGUGACGGUAACUACCCAGAAAGGGACGGCUAACUACGUG
rnacentral:rRNA from 1 species